rnacentral:rRNA from 1 species
UACGAAGGGGGCUAGCGUUGCUCGGAAUUACUGGGCGUAAAGCGCACGUAGGCGGAUACUUAAGUCGGGGGUGAAAGCCCAGGGCUCAACCCUGGAAUAGCCUUCGAUACUGGGUAUCUUGAGUUCGGGAGAGGUGAGUGGAACUCCGAGUGUAGAGGUGAAAUUCGUAGAUAUUCGGAAGAACACCAGUGGCGAAGGCGACUGACUGGACAAGUAUUGACGCUGAGGUGCGAAAGCGUGGGGAGCAAACAGG